CUCUGUGUCUCAUCUUUGAAAACCUUUGCUGAGGGAUUUGCCCGGGUACCUUAACUCCAGGGACUUUAAAGGUGAAGGAACUUCAGCUGAGUGACCCUCCUGAUUCUUUUCCCUGCCUUUUGGAGAGGCUCUGCAUCUCAUUGGAACCUCCCCUCUCUCAACUACACAAAGCCCUGGGGUACUAUUAUUUCCUCCGGAUCAUCGCAGACCAUUCCCCCACCCCUGUCGCAGCGCUCUGUCUGCCGGGACAGCAGCCCCCCACCUUCAGGAGCCCUCAGGUCCCAGAGCAGAACUUCUGGCUUCUUCUGUGGUCUUUCUGGUUUGUGCAGGACAGAAAAUGUGUUUUACUCAACUCUCUGGUGGCCAAGACCUACACAUAGAAAGUAUGUUUGUAAAUAUUAAAUGAAACCCUACAGGCAGAAUAACUGCAAAGAAAUCUCAAGUCACUGUACUGCCCCAUCUCCAGAGCUUCUGCACCUAUUGGCUGUCAAGAGAGGAUUCAAAGAAUAUGAAAAGGAAAUUGGAAAAGGUGGAAGAGAGUACCACCUCCUGCUAUCCCCUAAAAGAUCAUCUUUAAACCAUGGUUGUCCUUGGAAACUGGUAAGAGACCUUUUCCUGUCAGCUGUGAGAAGAGUGCUGGAACAUCUCCUGUAAGAUGCCAGAGGUUCAGGUAGCCAUCCAGACAGCAACACAUGCCUGGGGACAAGGAGAGAAGUUACUGAUACUACAGUGUCCAGGGGAUGGUCAAUAACAAUCCUCUUCUCUCCAACACUCCUAUCUUUGGUGGGAUUUUAGGGGACAACACACACGGCUAAGGAGAAACAUGGUGUAAUUCAGUCUAUUUUGCAAGUAUCUAAAAGCCCUAGUGUAGGGGUCGAAUAGUGGCUCCCCAAAGAUAUCAGAUUCUAAUCCCUGCAACCUGUGAAUGUUAUUUUAUAUGGUAAACUCUUUGCAGAUGUGACUACAUUAAAGAUCUUAAUGUGGUUAAGAGUAUCCUGGAUUAUCCAGGUGGGCCCUGAA